GGCUACCUAGCGCAAUGGUAGCGCGUUUGGCUUCGAUUGCUUAACGGUUACACCAAAAGGUUGCAGGUUCGAGUCCUGCGGUGGUCA
rnacentral:tRNA from 1 species